rnacentral:rRNA from 1 species
UCAGAUUGAACGCUGGCGGCAGGCCUAACACAUGCAAGUCGAACGGUAACAGGAAGMAGCUUGCUUCUUUGCUGACGAGUGGCGGACGGGUGAGUAAUGUCUGGGAAACUGCCUGAUGGAGGGGGAUAACUACUGGAAACGGUAGCUAAUACCGCAUAACGUCGCAAGACCAAAGAGGGGGACCUUCGGGCCUCUUGCCAUCGGAUGUGCCCAGAUGGGAUUAGCUAGUAGGUGGGGUAACGGCUCACCUAGGCGACGAUCCCUAGCUGGUCUGAGAGGAUGACCAGCCACACUGGAACUGAGACACGGUCCAG